rnacentral:lncRNA from 1 species
CCGGGGGCAGAGCCCAGCUGCGGGAUGCCGUGCAACGCAGGAAGCCUCGCUGGGCGCGGGGUCUGGGGCUGCCCUGCCGUGCUGAGCGAUGCCAAGGUGCAUCACGGCGCCCUGCGCGCCGCGACACCCCCGGAGCCUUUGGCUCCUCUGGGGAUUCCCCAGUGAUUUUCUGGCCUUUCUGUCACCACAAACCUCUGGGAUUAUCUCCUGAGCUCGUACCUUUCACAUCCCUGCGGCUUCUUAACACGACUGGUUUGCACUCUGCUGAGUUUCCCCAGCAGGGCUGGGCUCCUCCAAGGUCCAGGUGCUGCUGAUGAAGUUACCUGCAUUGCAACUCCCCCGCCAAUGUUUCCUGUGGGCUUUGAUGCUGAAAAGGAGAGAGAGCAGCUCCUGAAAGAUCAGGGUGCAGAAUCCCCUAAAGCAGAGCUGUCUCUAUGGAACAGGCUCAUCACCAUGAACAGACAUCGAUGGACUUCAGAUAAGCCUCACGUCCUAGGAAGCUUGAUGCAACUGGGAAGGGAAGAGGAGUCUCCUUUGAACGCGGUUGCUGAUGGACCCGCAGCACCGGUUCUCCCCCUCCUGCCUGCAAAACCCUCUGAUGUGGUCCCUGUCUACAGGUUUCCUGAAAACAGAGCAGAAGAAACCAUUGGCUACUUCGGGAGAAGCCAGGUAGAGCUGGGAGCAAAUGGCGCAGGAACCCCCAGAGAAGGCUGAGGGCAUCCUCAUAGAAAGAUAUUCUUCCUUAGCAGUUCAGGCAGACCUCAACAGUCAUAUCUCUCAGCUGAUGGUAUCUCACUGGCUGUGAAAGCAAUUGUAAUUUAAUCAACAAAGAGCGCUUAGAGCCCCAGACCAGAUGGGAGAAAUGUUUGUGAAACAAAGACUCUAUUUUCGAGAAAA